rnacentral:misc_RNA from 1 species
UACGGGGGGUGCAAGCGUUAAUCGGAAUGACUGGGCGUAAAGCGCACGCAGGCGGUCUGCUAAGCCAGAUGUGAAAGCCCCGGGCUCAACCUGGGAACUGCAUUUGGAACUGGCAGGCUAGAGUCUUGGAGAGGGGGGUAGAAUUUCCGGUGUAGCGGUGAAAUGCGUAGAGAUCGGAAGGAAUACCAGUGGCGAAGGCGGCCCCCUGGCCAAAGACUGACGCUGAGGCGCGAAAGCGUGGGGAGCGAACAGG